GCUGGUUUGGCUCAAUGGAUAGAGCAUCAGUCUGCACACUGAAGGGUCACGGGUUUGAUUCCAGUCAAGGGCA
rfam:Myotis brandtii contig209664, whole genome shotgun sequence.